rnacentral:miRNA from 1 species
AGCCAUGUAUCAAACUAGUAUAGGUAACAACAGAAGCUGAAAAACCUUUCUGCUCCAUCUCUUUCAAUAGUUCCUUUGCCUCACCAAUUUUUCCUAGUCUACACAGCCCAUUUAUCAAGGUACCA